rnacentral:rRNA from 1 species
AUUGAACGCUGGCGGCAUGCUUUACACAUGCAAGUCGAACGGUAACAGGCCUUCGGGUGCUGACGAGUGGCGAACGGGUGAGUAAUGCAUCGGAACGUACCCAGAGGUGGGGGAUAACGCAGCGAAAGCUGUGCUAAUACCGCAUGUGAUCUGAGGAUGAAAGCGGGGGACCGAGCAGCAAUGUUUGGCCUCGCGCCUUUGGAGCGGCCGAUGUCGGAUUAGCCAGUUGGUGGGGUAAAGGCCUACCAAGGCGACGAUCCGUAGCUGGUCUGAGAGGACGAACAGCCACACUGGGACUGAGACACGGCCCAGACUCCUACGGGAGGCAGCAGUGGGGAAUUUUGGACAAUGGGCGCAAGCCUGAUCCAGAAAUGCCGCGUGCGGGAAGAAGGCCUUCGGGUUGUAAACCGCUUUUGGCAGGAACGAAACGGUGUCCGCUAAUACCGGGCGCUAAUGACGGUACCUGCAGAAUAAGCACCGGCUAACUACGUG